rnacentral:rRNA from 1 species
GAUGAACGCUAGCGGCAGGCUUAACACAUGCAAGUCGAGGGGUAUAGUAGCAAUACUAGAGACCGGCGCACGGGUGCGUAACGCGUAUGCAAUCUGCCUUUUACAGGGGAAUAGCCCAGAGAAAUUUGGAUUAAUGCCCCAUAGUAUUAUAGAAUGGCAUCAUUUUAUAAUUAAAGUCACAACGGUAAAAGAUGAGCAUGCGUCCCAUUAGUUAGUUGGUAAGGAACGGCUUACCAAGACGAUGA